rnacentral:lncRNA from 1 species
CUAGGCAGGUCGACGGGGCCCGUACAAAUUUAUUUUUCUUGCAGUCACUGCCGUGUUAAUUGCAAACCGGGCGCAAAGCUGGCCACAUGACAGCAAUAGACCCCAUUAUCGUUCAGCAGUACUUGUAAAUGUUGCCGAUGUCCUUCACUCCUUGUCGUCUGGUUCCUGGUGGUUUGCGACACGUGCCUGCUGAGCCGUUUUGUGUUUGUGUGGUGCGAGUCGAGAGCUGGCUGUAGGAUACUGAAAUCCAACACGCUAAAUGCAGCUGUCUGGCACUCCAAUGGGCCGGUAAUGUGCAGGACUCAAAAAGAACUUGUUGUUUGUAUCUCAUUACUGGAGCCAUAUUCAGUAUCUUACGGGGCAUUAGACCGAACUUGCGGAACAUAAAUAUAUCUUGGAUGAGUGUAUAUUAGCGGCUAAACGUUAAUCAAACAUGCGACUUUUGGGUCUGCUGUGAAAUCUAUUGGGAAGAAGAGGGUUGGCAGUACUACCGGAAGUCCCGUACUUAUACAGGCCCGACAGCAGCGGCUAAACCAUGGGAAACUCGAGUUCAACUCGUGGUAUAUACUCCACAGAAAAAGCUUGUAAAUAACUGUGUCUCGGAUAUUACCAGUCCCAGUACGAACAAUUCUAGCAUCUGAGUAUUACUUUCGCUCGCUUAGAAGAGAUUUCAAGAAGUAUUCAGCCUGCGUCACUACCACAGACCGCAGGCGGGAGCCUUCCCCUACGAAACAAAACGCGGUCAAGGAAAAGCAAUUAGAUAACAAUUCGUGUACUAACA